CAGCCGCGGUAAUACGGUAGGGUGCGAGCGUUAAUCGGUAAUUACUGGGCGUAAAGCGCAUUGCAGGUGGUUUGUUAAGUCAGAUGUGAAAGCCCGGGGCUCAACCUCGGAAUUGCAUUUGAAACUGGCAAACUAGAGUACUGUAGAGGGGGUAGAAUUUCAGGUGUAGCGGUGAAAUGCGUAGAGAUCUGAAGGAAUACCGGUGGCGAAGGCGGCCCCCUGGACAGAUACUGACACUCAGAUGCGAAAGCGUGGGGAGCAAACAGGAUUAGAUACCCUGGUAG
rnacentral:rRNA from 1 species